rnacentral:rRNA from 1 species
AGCUAGUUGGUGAGGUAGAGGCUUACCAAGGCGACGAUCUGUAGCGGGUCUGAGAGGAUGAUCCGCCACACUGGAACUGAGACACGGUCCAGACUCCUACGGGAGGCAGCAGUGGGGAAUUUUGGACAAUGGGGGCAACCCUGAUCCAGCCAUGCCGCGUGAGUGAAGAAGGCCUUCGGGUUGUAAAGCUCUUUCGGCCGGGAAGAAAUCGCAUGGGCCAAUACCCUGUGUGGAUGACGGUACCGGAAUAAGAAGCACCGGCUAACUACGUGCCAGCAGCCGCGGUAAUACGUAGGGUGCGAGCGUUAAUCGGAAUUACUGGGCGUAAAGCGUGCGCAGGCGGUUUUGUAAGACAGGCGUGAAAUCCCCGGGCUUAACCUGGGAACUGCGUUUGUGACUGCAAGGCUAGAGUACGGCAGAGGGGGGUGGAAUUCCACGUGUAGCAGUGAAAUGCGUAGAGAUGUGGAGGAACACCAAUGGCGAAGGCAGCCCCCUGGGUCGAUACUGACGCUCAUGCACGAAAGCGUGGGUAGCAAACAGGAUUAGAUACCCUGGUAGUCCACGCCCUAAACUAUGUCAACUAGGUGUUGGGUGGGUAAAACCAUUUAGUACCGUAGCUAACGCGUGAAGUUGACCGCCUGGGGAGUACGGCCGCAAGGUUAAAACUCAAAGGAAUUGACGGGGACCCGCACAAGCGGUGGAUGAUGUGGAUUAAUUCGAUGCAACGCGAAAAACCUUACCUACCCUUGACAUGCCAGGAACUUGCCAGAGAUGGCUUGGUGCCCGAAAGGGAGCCUGGACACAGGUGCUGCAUGGCUGUCGUCAGCUCGUGUCGUGAGAUGUUGGGUUAAGUCCCGCAACGAGCGCAACCCUAGUCGUUAAUUGCCAUCAUUUAGUUGGGCACUUUAACGAGACUGCCGGUGACAAACCGGAGGAAGGUGGGGAUGACGUCAAGUCCUCAUGGCCCUUAUGGGUAGGGCUUCACACGUCAUACAAUGGUCGGUACAAAGGGUUGCCAAGCCGCGAGGCGGAGCCAAUCCCAGAAAGCCGAUCGUAGUCCGGAUUGCAGGCUGCAACUCGCCUGCAUGAAGUCGGAAUCGCUAGUAAUCGUGGAUCAGCAUGUCACGGUGAAUACGUUCCCGGGUCUUGUACACACCGCCCGUCACACCAUGGGAGCGGGUUCCGCCAGAAGUAGGUAGCCUAACCGCAAGGGGGGCGCUUACCACGGCGGGGUUCGUGACUGGGGUGAAGUCGAACAAGGUAGCCGUAGGGGAACCUGCGGCUG